rnacentral:rRNA from 1 species
AGUGAACGCUGGCGGUAGGCCUAACACAUGCAAGUCGAACGGCAGCACAGUAAGGGCUUGCUCUUACGGGUGGCGAGUGGCGGACGGGUGAGGAAUACAUCGGAAUCUACUUUUUCGUGGGGGAUAACGUAGGGAAACUUACGCUAAUACCGCAUACAACCUACGGGUGAAAGCAGGGGAUCUUCGGACCUUGCGCGAUUGAAUGAGCCGAUGUCGGAUUAGCUAGUUGGCGGGGUAAAGGCCCACCAAGGCGACGAUCCGUAGCUGGUCUGAGAGGAUGAUCAGCCACACUGGAACUGAGACACGGCCCAGACUCCUACGGGAGGCAGCAGUGGGGAAUAUUGGACAAUGGGCGCAAGCCUGAUCCAGCCAUACCGCGUGGGUGAAGAAGGCCUUCGGGUUGUAAAGCCCUUUUGUUGGGAAAGAAAAGCAGCAGGUUAAUACCCCGCUGUUCUGACGGUACCCAAAGAAUAAGCACCGGCUAACUUCGUG